UUUUAUUAUUUUGCAUAGUAAUUAUUAAGAUCUUUUCUAUAUUGUCAAUAAAGAGGCAUAAUAUUUAUUUAAUAACUCAAUUCUUUUAACUUUUAAAAUGCAAUAAAGAACUAAUAAGCUCAUUGGGUUAGCUGCACAGUCAAAAUAUAAUGAAAUCAGUUCAAAUGAAUGUCACAAACAAUGAUGAAAAUAUAAGUAAGUGUACCUAAAAUAAGUAAUAGUUUUUUACUUUAACAAUCAUUUUUUACUAUAAAGUUUUUAUAUUGUUUAGUUCACAUUUUUAAUGGUGUGGAAGAAUUUUCAAAUAAUAUUAUACCAUGUGAAGAGAUAAAUUUUACUUGUAAGUAAUUGUUACAUAAAUCAAAACAUUAGUUUGUUAGCUAAUAGCUAGAUAUUAAUAUGUUAUUAUAUUAUUUAGAUGAACAAAAGGUAAAGGAAUGGUUGGACAAUAAUAUUAUAUUAUUAGAAUCUGGUUUAACGUGCUAAGAAACAAUAUGGAAUUAGACAUAAGUAACAUGGAAAUAAUUUUUAGUAAUGAAUCUGUAGCACAUGAUGGGAACAUGACUACACCAGAACCAAUAGAUAUUAUUAAAGGUAGGUACUAACUUACUUACUAGUUACUGAUAAUAUUUGUUUAUAAUUCUAAAUGUAUAAUGAAAUAACAAGUAAUCAACUUAUAUUUUAUUUAUUUAAUUAAUUAAUAUUUAAUUAAUAAAAAAGCUGUCUUAACCAUAAAUUCCUAACAUCUGGCCAUACAAGAAUGGAAAGUGUCUCAGAUCACUUAUCAAUUGAGAAGCAAAAAAAAAACAUGACACUAUGAUUUACCAUCCCCAUGACUGGUUUACUUUAAUCAGAUGCACUAGUAAAAAGUUUAAAGAAAUAGAAAUGGAACAGUAUGAUAUUUUAGACUUUCCUAGUCUUUUAAAAAUCAGUUAGUUUUAAGAAAAAAAAAAAUGGAAAGGGAACAUUUUGCUGGCAAGAUUGCAAAUAGCUAAAGUACGAGAAGCAAUUUGGAUUAUAUCUAAAAAAAAAAAAGACUUCUUAAAUUUAUUAGAAUUGGUGCCACCAGUCUACCGUGAGUUUUAUAAGAAUUUAGUCACUUGAUCAACCAGAUUUUGAUCCACAUUUACAAAACUGUUUGUUUGUUAAAUUUGGUUAUUUUUAAUAUUUUUGUUUUUAUUAUCAGCC